rnacentral:rRNA from 1 species
GGAAUAUUGGGCAAUGGAGGAAACUCUGACCCAGCAACGCCGCGUGAAUGAUGAAGGUCUUCGGAUUGUAAAGUUCUUUUCUAAGGGAAGAAGAAAGUGACGGUACCUUAGGAAUAAGCCUCGGCUAACUACGUGCCAGCAGCCGCGGUAAUACGUAGGAGGCAAGCGUUAUCCGGAAUGACUGGGCGUAAAGGGUGCGUAGGUGGUUUGACAAGUUGGUAGCGUAACUCCGGGGCUCAACCUCGGCACUACUACCAAAACUGUUGGACUUGAGUGCAGGAGGGGCAAAUGGAAUUCCUAGUGUAGCGGUGGAAUGCGUAGAUAUUAGGAGGAACACCAGUGGCGAAGGCGGCUCUCUGGUCUGUAACUGACGCUGAGGUUCGAAAGCGUGGGUAGCAAACAG